rnacentral:rRNA from 1 species
CCUACGGGAGGCUGCAGUGGGGAAUAUUGGACAAUGGGGGAAACCCUGAUCCAGCAAUGCCGCGUGAAUGAAGAAGGCCUUAGGGUUGUAAAAUUCUUUUGUCCGUGACGAUGAUGACGGUAGCGGACGAAUAAGCCCUGGCUAACUCUGUGCCAGCAGCCGCGGUAAUACAGAGAGGGCAAGCGUUGUCCGGAAUGACUGGGCGUAAAGCGCGCGCAGGCGGUUUUUUAAGUUGGAUGUGAAAUCCCCGGGCUUAACCUGGGAACUGCAUACGAUACUGGGAAACUGGAGGCCGAGAGAGGAAAGCGGAAUGACGAGUGUAGAGGUGAAAUUCGUAGAUAUUCGUCGGAACACCGGAGGCGAAGGCGGCUUUCUGGCUCGGACCUGACGCUGAGGCGCGAAAGCGUGGGGAGCAAACAGGAUUAGAUACCCUUGUAGUC